rnacentral:rRNA from 1 species
GUCUAUGGCCAUGCUACCCUGAACAAGCCCAAUCCCAUCUGAUCUCAGAAGCUAAGCAGGGUCAGGCCUGGUUAGUAUUUGGAAUGAGGGACCACCUAGGAAGACUAGGUGCUGUAGGUG